CUGAAGUCUCUGUGUUCUCUCUUUCUUCUGAGAUCAUGGGAGUAUUGAAAAUUAACUCUUUCAUCAGACAUUUUAGGAUGAUGAUCAUGAGAAGUGAGGUUGAAUCGGAGCUUCAGCCAUUAGAACACAAAGACAAGGGAAUAUUGUGUUCUGUUCUGGUGAAACCUGUUUGUUUACAUGGCAGUCCAAAGGUCAACCAUCUGUAACCUGUAUAAUCUGCAAAGCAGGAAUUUUUUGACUGCACCGACUGGAGUGUUUUUGAAGCUGCAACUCUCAACCUGGACAAACUGACUGAGGAGGUCAGUGAAAGAGUAUGCUGUUCUCGCGGCUUAGCAAAAUAAUCUGUUUAUUACAAAAAAGGUUUAACCUCGGAAUUUCUAACGCAGUCAGAAAACUUUUUGUGGUUAUCUUCCGCAGUCCUUUGCCACCGUAUCCUUUCGCCGCUGUCCUCUGAAUGGAGCUUCUGGAAGCUCCCAGCCCUGCAGGACACCUACCACACACGAUGCCUCAGGAAAGCUGGCAGGAUCCUAAAGGACUGCUACCACCCAGCUUUCAGACUUUUUACCCCGCUGCCCUCUGGAAGGCGGUACCGUAGCAUCCGGUCUCGCACACGCAGACUGGAGAACAGCUUUUACCCCAGGGCCAUCAGGCUGCUAAAUGGACAUUGAUACUACACCGCCACUUUUGCACUCGUCACUUACAUGCACUGUCACUGUCACUUUCAUAUUACUGUUUGCACUACACUUACAUAUACUGUCACUUCCAACCUACUGCUUGCACUAGCAGUAAUACCUUAUCAGGAAAAUUGCACUACCUGUAACUCCCUCACUGGGUUGUAUGUAGGUUAGUAUAGGUCAAUAGGGUAGCAUAGUUUAUUACAUGUGUAUUAUAUGUUAUAUGUAUAUAUGUUAGUAUUAUAUGUAUAGGCUGCUAUAUGUAUAUUUAGUAUUAUAUGUAUAGGUUGUUAUAUGUUUAGUACACCGUAUUGUAUAUUUAUCUUGUAUAUUUAGUAAGGUUAUUUAUAUGUUUAUUAUGUGUAAAUUAUGUUCAUAGUACUUGUGCAGAGUGUACGUCAUGGUUAUGUUAUGUAUAUUAUGUGUUGUUAUGUUAUGGUAGGUUUGGGCGGCGUCUUGUCGCAAGAAUUUCAGUGCCCAGUCUGAC
ensembl:lncRNA